AUUGAACGCUGGCGGCAGGCCUAACACAUGCAAGUCGAGCGGAUGAAGGGAGCUUGCUCCUGGAUUCAGCGGCGGACGGGUGAGUAAUGCCUAGGAAUCUGCCUGGUAGUGGGUGAUAACGUCCGGAAACGGGCGCUAAUACCGCAUACGUCCUGAGGGAGAAAGUGGGGGAUCUUCGGACCUCACGCUAUCAGAUGAGCCUAGGUCGGAUUAGCUAGUUGGUGGGGUAAAGGCCUACCAAGGCGACGAUCCGUAACUGGUCUGAGAGGAUGAUCAGUCACACUGGAACGGAGACACGGUCCAGACUCCUACGGGAGGCAGCAGUGGGGAAUAUUGGACAAUGGGCGAAAGCCUGAUCCAGCCAUGCCGCGUGUGUGAAGAAGGUCUUCGGAUUGUAAAGCACUUUAAGUUGGGAGGAAGCGCAGUAAGUUAAUACCUUGCUGUUUUGACGUUACCAACAGAAUAAGCACCGGCUAACUUCGUG
rnacentral:rRNA from 1 species